rnacentral:rRNA from 1 species
GCCACAUCAUGUUGAAACACCAGUUCUUGUACGAUUACUGAAGUUAAGCAAUAUCAAGCCUGGUCAGUAUCUAGAUGGGUGACCACUUGGGAAUACCAGGUGCUGUAA